rnacentral:rRNA from 1 species
UACGUACUGUGCGAACGUUAUUCGGAAUCACUGGGCUUAAAGGGUGCGUAGGCGGCCUGCUAAGUCGGGUGUGAAAUGCCAGAGCUCAACUUUGGCAUUGCGCUCUAGACUGGCAGGCUUGAGUGAGAUAGGGGUGUGCGGAGCUUCCAGUGGAGCGGUGAAAUGUGUUGAUAUUGGAAGGAACGCCGGUGGCGAAAGCGGCACACUGGGUCUUAACUGACGCUGAGGCACGAAAGCCAGGGGAGCGAACGGG